rnacentral:rRNA from 1 species
GAGCCUACGGGAGGCAGCAGUGGGGAAUAUUGCACAAUGGGGGAAACCCUGAUGCAGCAACGCCGCGUGAAGGAAGACGGCUUUCGGAUUGUAAACUUCUGUUCUUAGUGAAGAAGAAUGACGGUAGCCAAGGAGAAGGCUCCGGCUAACUACGUGCCAGCAGCCGCGGUAAUACGUAGGGAGCGAGCGUUGUCCGGAUUUACUGGGUGUAAAGGGUGCGCAGGCGGCUCUGCAAGUCAGGCGUGAAAGCUAGGGGCUCAACCCCUAAAUUGCGCUUGAAACUGUGGAGCUUGAGUGAAGUAGAG